CUGGAUGUCCUUGUGCCUUGGUGACAGGGUUGCUGGCGGUUUUCGUGAGUGUCUGACUCUGAGUCAUGGGACAUAACAGAUGGAUAUGUGGUUUCCAUUUGACAAUUGAUUUGUGUGCUCUUUUACUCACUGCAGAGCUUUUAAGCUGGUGCCUAAUUUAGGUUAAAGUUUCAGAACAGCUCUCUACUGCAAAAGGGCCUCUCAUCUCUGAACAGAUGUCUACGGCCAUGUGCUUCUCUGAUUAACACCAAACUUUAGGGUAACUUUGGGCAAGGUUUCUUCUGUAUUUAUUUAUGAGAUUUAUGCUAAGCCUCUAUGACCAUUGUAGCUCCUAACUCGGGGGGCUGGGGGCGGGGAGGAAGCAUAUCAAAACAACCAGUCACUGAAGAAUGGAAAUGCAGCCAAUUAAAAUUAGGUUGCUUGAUUUCUGCAGUGGCUGCAAACCAAUUUGACCAGAUUUUUGUUUUGUUUUGUCUGAGUUGGUUCUACUUGGAGGACAUCAAUUUCCACAUUGCGUAGGCCCUUUUAUAAAGGCAUGUCAUAUGGGUUAGUUAAUUUAGAAGGCUACAAAACAGACUGUUAGAAUGGAAUAGAGUCAAAAUUGAUAUGACUCAUUAAAGCAUGGAUUGCUCUAUCAUUGACUAAGUUAAAAUAAAAUUAAAAAUGUCAGAGAAUACAGCUUCAAUAUGGAUUAGAGAGGUUCUGUAAAAUUAUGUGUGCAGCCAUAUUCUAGUCAGUUAAGAGUCGGGAUGUAGGCUGGAAGGAGUGAUUAUAUAUGAUCUUUGUGUUUAUGUUUUAUAUAAUACUUUAGAGGUCCACCUUUUCUUCUUCCAUCCUUCCUUCCUUCCUUCUAUUAUGAGUGAAAGUCAGAAAAGAAGAUUAAAAUAUUUCAUUGCAGACUAAAUUUCAGCUGUUGUAUAAGACAGUGUGGGAAAAUUAUUAUGACCUUUUCAUCUCACAAUUCUAAAGAAGUUCUGUAAUUUUUUGAAGUAGAGCUUCAAGUAAACUUACUUUCAUUUAAUUAGAAAGAAAAAAAUUAUAAACUUCAAAGCUUGUGAUUCCUCAGCCUUGGGUUCUACCACCCUUGCAGAUUACUAAGCUUCUAUUUUAAAAAUAACUUUGUGACCAUAUCCCCUCUCCUACAAAUAACAUAAAAUUUUAUUUUCACUUGUUAAAUAAAAUUUAAUGACCUGCAAAGUGAACUGGAAUAGAGAUUGAAUUGGGAAUGAAAAGAAAGAGCUCCUUAUCAAUAUCUCUUUUAAAUAAAUAUUAUACAGCUGUGUACCAGAGAAGGACAUUGAGAUAAAUUUAAAAAAAAAAAUUAGAACAAAAGUUGGGCAAGUUCUUGCCCUGAGGGAGCUCACAGUCUAGAAUGGAAAAGACAUUAAUCAAAUAAUUAUAAA
rnacentral:lncRNA from 1 species